rnacentral:rRNA from 1 species
CAUGCCGCGUGUGUGAAGAAGGCCCUCGGGUUGUAAAGCACUUUCAGCGAGGAAGAACGCCUAGCGGUUAAUACCCGCUAGGAAAGACAUCACUCGCAGAAGAAGCACCGGCUAACUCCGUGCCAGCAGCCGCGGUAAUACGGAGGGUGCAAGCGUUAAUCGGAAUUACUGGGCGUAAAGCGCGCGUAGGUGGCUUGAUAAGCCGGUUGUGAAAGCCCCGGGCUCAACCUGGGAACGGCAUCCGGAACUGUCAAGCUAGAGUGCAGGAGAGGAAGGUAGAAUUCCCGGUGUAGCGGUGAAAUGCGUAGAGAUCGGGAGGAAUACCAGUGGCGAAGGCGGCCUUCUGGACUGACACUGACACUGAGGUGCGAAAGCGUGGGUAGCAAACAGGAUUAGAUACCCUGGUAGUCCACGCCGUAAACGAUGUCGACCAGCCGUUGGGUGCCUAGCGCACUUUGUGGCGAAGUUAACGCGAUAAGUCGACCGCCUGGGGAGUACGGCCGCAAGGUUAAAACUCAAAUGAAUUGACGGGGGCCCGCACAAGCGGUGGAGCAUGUGGUUUAAUUCGAUGCAACGCGAAGAACCUUACCUACUCUUGACAUCCUGCGAAUUUGGUAGAGAUACCUUAGUGCCUUCGGGAACGCAGAGACAGGUGCUGCAUGGCUGUCGUCAGCUCGUGUUGUGAAAUGUUGGGUUAAGUCCCGUAACGAGCGCAACCCUUGUCCUUAUUUGC